rnacentral:tRNA from 1 species
GCCGACGUAGCUCCAAAAGGAAGAGCAGCGGUCUCCAAAACCGUAUGUUGCGGGUCCGAAUCCCGUCGUCGGUGCCU